UGGGGAAUCUUGGACAAUGGGGGCAACCCUGAUCCAGCCAUGCCGCGUGAGUGAUGAAGGCCUUAGGGUCGUAAAGCUCUUUCGCCUGUGAAGAUAAUGACGGUAGCAGGUAAAGAAACCCCGGCUAACUCCGUGCCAGCAGCCGCGGUAAUACGGAGGGAGCUAGCGUUGUUCGGAAUUACUGGGCGUAAAGCGCGCGUAGGCGGCUUUGCAAGUAGAGGGUGAAAUCCCGGGGCUCAACCCGGAACUGCCUCCAAAACUAUUGGUCUAGAGUUCGAGAGAGGUGAGUGGAAUUCCAAGUGUAGAGGUGAAAUUCGUAGAUAUUUGGAGGAACACCAGUGGCGAAGGCGGCUCACUGGGCUCGAUACUGACGCUGAGGUGCGAAAGUGUGGGGAGCAAACAGGAUUAGAUACCCUGGUAGUCCACACCGUAAACGAUGAAUGCCAGUCGUCGGGUAGCAUGCUAUUCGGUGACACACCUAACGGAUUAAGCAUUCCGCCUGGGGAGUACGGUCGC
rnacentral:rRNA from 1 species